AACGCUAGCUACAGGCUUAACACAUGCAAGUCGAGGGGAAACGACAUCGAAAGCUUGCUUUUGAUGGGCGUCGACCGGCGCACGGGUGAGUAACGCGUAUCCAACCUGCCCACCACUUGGGGAUAACCUUGCGAAAGUAAGACUAAUACCCAAUGAUAUCCCACGAAGGCAUCCGAAUGGGACUAAAGAUUUAUCGGUGAUGGAUGGGGAUGCGUCUGAUUAGCUUGUUGGCGGGGUAACGGCCCACCAAGGCUACGAUCAGUAGGGGUUCUGAGAGGAAGGUCCCCCACAUUGGAACUGAGACACGGUCCAAACUCCUACGGGAGGCAGCAGUGAGGAAUAUUGGUCAAUGGGCGAGAGCCUGAACCAGCCAAGUAGCGUGCAGGAUGACGGCCCUAUGGGUUGUAAACUGCUUUUAUAAGGGAAUAAAGUGGGUCUCGUGAGACUUUUUGCAUGUACCUUAUGAAUAAGGACCGGCUAAUUCCGUGCCAGCAGCCGCGGUAAUACGGAAGGUCCGGGCGUUAUCCGGAUUUAUUGGGUUUAAAGGGAGCGUAGGCCGGAGAUUAAGCGUGUUGUGAAAUGUAGUGGCUCAACCUCUGCACUGCAGCGCGAACUGGUCUUCUUGAGUACGCACAACGUGGGCGGAAUUCGUGGUGUAGCGGUGAAAUGCUUAGAUAUCACGAAGAACUCCGAUUG
rnacentral:rRNA from 1 species